rnacentral:SRP_RNA from 1 species
GCCAGGUGCAGUGGUGUGCACCUGUAGUCCCAGCUACCGGGGAGGCUAAGGAGGGAGAAUUGCUUGAGCCCAGGAAUUUGAGGCUGCCGUGAGCUAUUAUUGCAACACCGCUGCACUCCAGCCUGGGCAACAGAGCAAGACCCCAUCUCUA